CCUACGGGAGGCAGCAGUGAGGAAUAUUGGUCAAUGGACGAGAGUCUGAACCAGCCAAGUAGCGUGAAGGAUGACUGCCCUAUGGGUUGUAAACUUCUUUUAUAUGGGAAUAAAAUGUUCCACGUGUGGGAUUUUGUAUGUACCAUAUGAAUACGGAUCGGCUAACUCCGUGCCAGCAGCCGCGGUAAUACGGAGGAUCCGAGCGUUAUCCGGAUUUAUUGGGUUUAAAGGGAGCGUAGGUGGAUUGUUAAGUCAGUUGUGAAAGUUUGCGGCUCAACCGUAAAAUUGCAGUUGAAACUGGCAGUCUUGAGUACAGUAGAGGUGGGCGGAAUUCGUGGUGUAGCGGUGAAAUGCUUAGAUAUCACGAAGAACUCCAAUUGCGAAGGCAGUUCACUGGACUGCAACUGACACUGAGGCUCGAAAGUGUGGGUAUCAAACAGGAUUAGAUACCCUUGUAGUC
rnacentral:rRNA from 1 species